GUCUGUAUUUCCGCCGGCGCGAAACGAGCGUAGCUUCCUUGUCGUGUGGCCUCAGUCCUUCGCCGUCCCUCGCCGUCCUUCGCCAUCGCACGCCACCGCACCCCAUCUCUCGAAAUCUGCAGACAUCUUGAUUUUUCCCACGCUGUCUGUCAGGUCUCCGCCGCCACUCGACGCCAGGGCGCCGGGCCUUGUGGGCUGUGCUGCACCUCGGACGGCUUCGCACCAGCCAGCGCCCUCUCUCUCCUGCAGCACUCUGAUCUGCACCCCCUGAGGGGCUUCCACUGUCCGCGGGGUGAGAAUGCCCCUGGGAGUGUCACAUGACUGCCGCCCCAUGUGUGUGAGAGGCGUCCUCUGGGAGAGCAUGGAUCCUGAGGUCCCAGGAUUGUCAGCUGACCUCUGUCCUGUGUGCCCAGUGGCCCCAGGUGACGUGUCUUCAAGAAGAGGCUGAGCUGCGGUGCUUGUAAGAGUCAUGUGCUGUUCCUGGGGCUUGGAUGAUGUAGGGGAAGCAAGGUGAAAGUGGUAUCCCGUGGUUCCACGUUCUGUCCUGCUGUGGGGCUGUCCCUCACAUGCUUUCAGUGGCUGUUGCAGAGGAAGAGCCUCCGGAAAUCUGCGUGGGUAAAGUCUCAGCCUUAGAUCCAAGGACAGUCCAAGGAAGUCCUAAGACCAUGGAGUUGGUGAUCUGGGAUCUGGGUUUGCUGAUAUUUCUCACCGUGAAUCUCUUGGUGGUGUUUGUGGGCACGAGAGGGGCAGAGAAUGGAGAGUGAGGCUACCACAUGAAGCGUCACCAGAGCUGCUCCCUGCUGCCUGCUCAGAGCACCCCGGAUCCACUGUUCAAUCUGCACAAGAUUCGGGGUCCAGACAUGGGAGACUUCAGCUGCCUCAGAGGACCGUGGACAGGGAAGGCCAGCCUCGCAUCCCUCUGUCCAUGCCUGGAAUGACUUUAAUAACCAAGAGUUUUAUUUUUGAAUUUGUAGCUGUCGUUCACUUUUUACCCACCCAUUCAAUAAACCUUACAGAAUUGCUCCA
rnacentral:lncRNA from 10 species